CCUACGGGUGGCAGCAGUGAGGAAUAUUGGUCAAUGGGCGAGAGCCUGAACCAGCCAAGUAGCGUGAAGGAUGACUGCCCUAUGGGUUGUAAACUUCUUUUAUAUGGGAAUAAAGUUGUCCACGUGUGGAUUUUUGUAUGUACCAUAUGAAUAAGGAUCGGCUAACUACGUGCCAGCAGCCGCGGUAAUACGGAGGAUCCGAGCGUUAUCCGGAUUUAUUGGGUUUAAAGGGAGCGUAGGCGGACGCUUAAGUCAGUUGUGAAAGUUUGCGGCUCAACCGUAAAAUUGCAGUUGAUACUGGGUGUCUUGAGUACAGUAGAGGCAGGCGGAAUUCGUGGUGUAGCGGUGAAAUGCUUAGAUAUCACGAAGAACUCCGAUUGCGAAGGCAGCUCACUGGACUGCAACUGACACUGAUGCUCGAAAG
rnacentral:rRNA from 1 species